UACAGAGGUCUCAAGCGUUGUUCGGAUUCAUUGGGCGUAAAGGGUGCGUAGGUGGCAUGGUAAGUCGGAUGUGAAAUCCCGGGGCUCAACCCCGGAACUGCAUUCGAUACUGCUGCGCUAGAGUACUGGAGAGGAGAUUGGAAUUUACGGUGUAGCAGUGAAAUGCGUAGAUAUCGUAAGGAAGACCAGUGGCGAAGGCGGAUCUCUGGACAGUUACUGACACUGAGCACGAAGGCCAGGGGAGCAAACGG
rnacentral:rRNA from 1 species